rnacentral:misc_RNA from 1 species
AAGUCGUAACAAGGUCUCCGUAGGUGAACCUGCGGAGGGAUCAUCAAAGGAUAUUUUAUCAAAAGGAAAGACUUCAAAAAUCUUUCCUCAAACAAACGAUCACAACUAUUGAAUGAAAGUUUGAUUUGGCUUAUUAUAUGAAAAAAAAGUGUUUGCCUGAUAAUUCAUCUGAUUUGGAAACAAGAAAAAAAAUACAACUUUCAACAACGGAUCUCUUGGCUCUC